CAGUAGCCGCGGUAAUACGUAGGUCCCGAGCGUUGUCCGGAUUUAUUGGGCGUAAAGCGAGCGCAGGCGGUUAGAUAAGUCUGAAGUUAAAGGCUGUGGCUUAACCAUAGUACGCUUUGGAAACUGUUUAGCUUGAGUGCAAGAGGGGAGAGUGGAAUUCCAUGUGUAGCGGUGAAAUGCGUAGAUAUAUGGAGGAACACCGGUGGCGAAAGCGGCUCUCUGGCUUGUAACUGACGCUGAGGCUCGAAAGCGUGGGGAGCAAACAGGAUUAGAUACCCGCGUAGUCCCUGUCUCUUAUACA
rnacentral:rRNA from 1 species